GCCUUGAUGGUGAAAUGGUAGACACGUAAGAUUCAAAAUCUUGUGCUCUAAAGCGUGGAGGUUCGAGUCCUCUUCAAGGCA
rnacentral:tRNA from 1 species